rnacentral:rRNA from 1 species
GCCGCGGGCAUUUAGUAUGUCGCUAGCGUUAUCCGUGAUUUAUUGGGCGUAAAGCGAGCGCAGACGGUUGAUUUAGUAUGAUGUGAAAAACGGAGCUGAACUCCGGAAUGGCAUCGUAGACUGUUAAGUUAGUAGCAGUAGAGGUAAGAGAACUCCAUGUGUAGCGGUGGAAUGCGUAGAUAUAUGGAAGAACACCAGUGGCGAAGACGGCUUACUGGACUGUAACUGACGUUGAGGCUCGAAAGUGUGGGUAGCAAACAGGAUUAGAUACCCUGGUAGUCCACCCCGUAAACGAUGAACACUAGGUGUUAGGAGGUUUCCGCCUCUUAGUGCCGAAGCUAACGCAUUAAGUGUUCCGCCUGGGGAGUACGACCGCACAGGUUGAAACUCAAAGGAAUUGACGGGGACCCGCACAAGCGGUGGAGCAUGUGGUUUAAUUUGAAGCAACGCGAAGAACCCUACCAGGUCUUGACAUCCUUUGAAGCUUUUAGAGAUAGAAGUGUUCUCUUUGGAGACAAAGUGACAGGUGGUGCAUGGUUGUUGUCAGCUCGUGUUGUGAGAUGUUGGGUUAAGUCCCGCAACGAGCGCAACCCUUAUUGUUAGUUGCCAGCAUUUAGAUGGGCCCUUUAGCGAGACUGCCGGUGACAAACCGGAGGAAGGCGGGGAAGACGUCAGAUCAUCAUGCCCCUUAUGACCUGGGCUACCCCCGUGCUACAAAGGGGUAUACAACGAGUUGCCAACCCGCGAGGGUGAGCUAAUUUUUUAAAGUACGUCUCAGUUCGGAUUGUAGUCUGCAACUUGACUACAUGAAGUUGGAAUCGCUUGUAAUCGCGGAUCAGCACGCCGCGGUGAAUACGUUCCCGGGUCUUGUACACCCCGCCCGUCACACCAUGGGAGUUUGUAAUGCCCAAAGCUCAGGUGGCCUAACCUCUAGGAAGGAGCCGUCUACGACGAGAUCACAGAACCCCA